UAGGCUGUCUCUGCGAGCCGCUCAUCACAGUAUCUACCAUGGCCACCCCGGCAGCUGUCGUCGUACUGCUGUUGUUGGCAGUCGGCCUCAACCAGAUAGCAGGAUCAAUGUAUGAUUCCGACUCCAGGGAAGAAGAAAUUAAUAACGACAUUCCCGUCAUUGCCACCGACAAAAGAGCGUCGAACCUAGGAAGUCGG